rnacentral:lncRNA from 1 species
CACACACAAAUGGGAUAUAUAUAUCCUAUUAGCAUUUAUAUAUGUAUAUAGGAUAUAUAUAAAUAUAUAUAUAUAUUCUAUUUGUAUGCAUAUAUACACAAAUAGGAUAUAUAUACAUAUAUGUAUAUAUAUAUAUGCAUAUAUACAUAUAUGUAUAUAUAUAUAUGCAUAUAUACACAAAUAGGAUAUAUAUACAUAUCCUAUUAGUUCUGUCCCUCUAGGGAACCCUGAUUAAUACACCGAGAUUUAUCUGAAUAUACUUAGUGUUCAUUAACUAAAUAAAUACUGAGCUAAUAAGUAUAAUUAUACACGACUAUAAUUCUUCCUCCCAAAUUUCUACUGGUAUGGGAAUAUCUACACAUUCCACAUCAGGUUUUGAGUGAACAUUUCUUAGUGGAGAAAAAUAUAGUUUUAUAAAUGGAAUACAUAGCAAAAAGAGCUGCUGCCUCAUAUAAUAAUCCAACUUCCAAGUCAGCAUUUAUUUAUUCUCAUAUUUCCUUAUGCUUUCAAGUAUAACAUUGUGCAUUUUAUAUCAAUAUUUUAAAUUAAGUCAUAUUAAGUAAAAAGGAAGGAAGCUACUAUUUAACCACUGUUUAAUCCCCAAGGAAAUUAAUGCUCUCUCCCAUUUUAUUGCAAUAGUUACUCUCUCCUUUCUUCCCAGGUCUUUUUUCUUUCCUCUUUUUGUCUUUUCUAGUUAGUUAUUAUUUUUCUCUGGUUUAGAAUUGCUGCCUUCCACCUGUCAUAUUUCAUUAUACACUGAACUAGACCAUGCUUGUUCUCUGGAAGUAAAGAAUUAAAUCGGCCGGGCGCAGUGGCUCAUGCCUGUAAUCCCAGCACUUUGGGAGGCCGAGGCGGGUGAAUCACGAGGUCAAGAGAUCGAGAUUAUCCUGGCCAACAAGAAGGAAAACAUGAAGGUACUCAAAUCUACUAACAGCUGAUUUUUGAUAAUGCUAUUUCAAUCACUGGGUAAAUCAUCACACACCAGGAUACACUGUACAUUCAGUAUUUCCUGUUUAGACUUUUUGUUGUCCUGAAGUUUUCUUCAUUUUUGUAAAAAUGCUUCUUUCUAGGAUUCUGGUUUAGCAGGAAAUGUUAGUGUUACUUACUAUAGGAUCACAAAGAAAUGAGACACAUGGGAAGUCUUGAAGUCCUGUAUCUAUUGGUUCUAGACUUGACAGUACAAGAACAUGUUCUGAAAUGCAAACAGUAAUUCAUUUCUGUACUUGUAUGUUUAUAAAAAUAAACUUCUGUUUAUUUUUUAAACCAUAUUACUUCAUUUUCAUUGUAGAAAAUUAUUAGCCUAGGUUCAUGGUAGGUAUGAUAAACUGGUUGAAAAAUUGGUCUUAAUUUUUUAUUCCUCCCUGUAAUAAUGUUUCUUGCGAUAUGAUUUUGUAACACCUUAUGUAAGAGGUAGAGUCUAUUUCCCAGCCCCUCGA